rnacentral:rRNA from 1 species
UACAGAGGUCUCAAGCGUUGUUCGGAUUCAUUGGGCGUAAAGGGUGCGUAGGCGGCGCGGUAAGCCGGGUGUGAAAUCUCGGGGCUUAACUCCGAGACUGCAUUCGAUACUGCCGUGCUUGAGGACUGGAGAGGAGACUGGAAUUUACGGUGUAGCGGUGAAAUGCGUAGAUAUCGUAAGGAAGACCAGUGGCGAAGGCGGGUCUCUGGGCAGUAACUGACGCUGAGGAGCGAAAGCGUGGGGAGCGAACAGG